ACUGAACGCGAUCAACAAGGAGUUCUCAUACUCAUGUCAUAUGAGAACUCAUGGUUGGGAUAAUGCAAAGUAGUCCUUUGACCUGAGGCAUCAUAGUUGUCUUGUGGUUAGGUCCUUGAUCUUUGACUAUGUCAAAGUCACUCCAUCCGAGGGUGUCCAUGACAUAGUUAGGGUUAAGCCACUUAGCCAUGGAGGCAAGUGAAUGCGCAACAAGGGAUCUCUAACCUUCAAACUGUUUGAGGGAGAAUACUCUAUGAUAUGAUUAAGAAUCUCUGGCCAGAGUAUGAAUGAAAUUUAAGGAAGUCGUUCCAAAUCACAUUCAAGGUAAUCAUAUAAGUAAAUGAAUCGCAUUGGAUAGUAGACAUGAAUAAACUAUCAAACCAAACAAUGUGGUCAAGAGUAUUGUAUUAGAGAAAGAUCGUAUUGCAUUGUAAUCCUAAAUUGAAUAGGUUCUCCACCUCUUCUGAUUAGCUAGGGUAACCAUGACAUACUGCUAGGUGUCACUCAUGGUUUAUGGAAGCCUUAAACGUGUAUAAUCACUAAAGGGAUAAUUGAAAGUAAGUUUCAUUUCACAAUCGAUUUGAAAGAGUUCUAAUCGCCCACUGCCUCGCUAAAAGGAACCUAAUGGAUCAUACACUGUGUAAGAUAGAGAUUGAAGAAACAAGGGAGAUGAGUAAGGUAAUUAAAUGGUUUAAUUAUUUAUGGCAAUGAUUAAUUAAUAUGUUAAUUAAUGAAACGAAUAAAGUUUGUUAAAGACCUCGGGUUAGUUUUGGGCCUCAAGGCCCAAUGGGCUUCGAACGUGAAGCCCAUUGACUUAAGUUGUAUGACAACUUAAUGACUAAUAAUUCACAAAGGCCCAAAUAGCCUAAUAAAACCUUAUGGCCGGCCAUAUUGAUAAAGGAGUGGGUUUUGGACUUAUUACAAGUUUGUCACUCCAAUGAAGGUAGGUAUAAAUAUGACUUUAUAGCCUUUUCUUCAUUAGGGUUUUCUUUUGGAGAAAAGAUGAGAACACAAUGUCUCUCCCUUUCUCUCUAGGAGGCCGGCCCCCUUGGAGGAGAUUAGCUAGCAAUCUUCCCUCCUCCAAGGUCACUCAUCUCUUCUUCGAGUUUCUCCUUGGUGUGGAAAAAUUAGAGGUUCUCAACUUUGGGAACUUGGAGAAUCCUUCCAACCAUCCUUAUCCAAGAAAUCCAUGGAGCUAAGAAGCAAGGAAUGAAGGCCCUCUCCUUGGGUGAUUAGCCUUUGCUUAUGCAAAGAGGAAUCAACAAAGGUAUAAGAUUUAUCAACUCACUUUGUUCUUGAGUUGAGUCUUGGUUCACCCUUCUACUUGGCUUUGAAUUUCAUGAGUAAUGUUUUGUUUUUUAGUGCAUACAAGCAUGAUUCCGCCUUAAUUGUUAAUUGCAUGCCAUAGAUGUUGCUCAAAUGAACAUGCCUUUCACAAAAUUUCCUUCAAGUGGUAUCAGAGCCUAGGUGUAGUAGUUGGUGAAUCCUUUUGGAUUUUGUAUUUUCAUAGUUUAUGAUUUGAAUGUUGUAAUUGUUACAAGCUUUAUUCUUGCUUCUUUGAAUGUAAAUUUUGUUAGAAAAUUUUCCAUCUCAAAUGUUGUAGAUGUAGUUCAUAUGAGCAUGAAUUUUGGAGCUAAAAUUUGGUGCCAUGUUUUUGGGGAAAUUCGGCCAAAUCCAAAUGGUGGAUUUUUGGGUUCAUGUUUGUCUUGUUAAAAGAGUUUUAAAGUGACUUUUGGAACCCCUAAGUGCCCUAGGAUGUUAACCCUCUUUUGUAUAGUGAAAAUUUGAGUUUUAUUGAGUGAAAACAUUCAUGGAGCUCUUAUGAGUUUUCAUGUGUGUUCUUCAGAGUUUUUGAAGUUCUUACCAAGAACAAAAAAGUUUGGUGUUUUGAUUCAAAGUGUUUGAUGUUAUGCAUAAAGUUUUGUUUAUGGUGGUUGGUGUGACUUUAUUAUAAUAAAUGGUAUGGCAUUUCAAUCAACACCCAUACCAAUCAACGUUUCCACCCAUCCCUUUCACCUUUUUCCACUCUUUAAAAUUUUGAAUUUUCACCAAACCUACUUCCCCCUUUUUCACUACCCAAACCGGCCACCCUAUAAAGUAGGGUACUUUUGGGGCUUUUAUGCAAUUACAUAAAGUUUUGAUACUUUUGUGUAUUUGUACUUUGACCCAAAAGUUUACGUUUUUACGUAAAGGCCCAAAAUCAGUAAAGGACAAAAUGUUUUGCUCCUUUAAUGAAGUUUUUGUAUUUUGAUGAAAUUUUUGGGUUCUAGUUGUAAUUACAUGAAGUAGUGGACUUUUGCGUUUUUACAAAGUGACCUCAAAAGUUUGUGUUUUGCAAUAUAGCCCAAUAGUUGAGGUUAUUGUUUUUCGGCCCAAAUUAGUUGAGAACAAAAUUGUUUUGUAUCUUUAAAUGAGAAUUGGAUUUUCAUUUCAUUUAGCUCCAUUUAAAUCAAUUCUAUGGAUACAAAAACCAAAUGAAAAUGUUGCAUUCAAGUUUAAUUAGUUUAAGCGUUAAUUAAUUAAAGAAAGGGUGAUUAUGAACCUAAGCCUACGAUAAUUGAGCUAUGUGAAAGGCCGUAGAUUAGAUUUUGGUUGUAAUUUGAUAUGAUCAAAUAUUGUAAAAGAGCAUAAGCUCUUCUUUACUUUAAAGUAAUUUGUUUUUUGAUCAAAUGUUCUAAAAGAGCAUAAGCUCUUCUUUACUUUGAAGUACUUCUUUCUUGCUUUAUUUGAUAUGCAUGAAAAUGAAGUAGAGGGUCCAACGCCUAAUAAGAAAACACGCCUUAAUGUGAUUAAACACGUAACUAAAAUCAAUCACCAUCCCUAGACCGAGAUUCAACACUAGGCUCGUGUUGGAUCGAAUCAAAGGUUCAUAGUCAUCCUAAGGCCCUAAGGCAACUAUAUAGUCCAUCAAUGAAUGCAAACCUUAUGUUAGUAGUACCAUAUACUCUUGCUUUAAAAACCGUUUUACAAGCAUAGUGGGAGUAUUAUAUACAACUAAAUCAAUCAAAUGGACCAAUAGUUGUAAUAGGACCAAAAUUGUUUUAAUAAUAAGAUUAAAAUGCAUGCUUGUAUGUGAUGAGAUAUAAAACCCUCAACCAAACCAUUAUUAAGUUGAUAAGCGUGAGAGUGCUUUGAACACUCUUUCGUGGCCUUCCACCGUGGUAGGCUCCGAUCGUUUGUGACUCGUACACCAACUUCACCCUAUCAUGGGGGAGUACAAAGUGCGUGCUUACACUCAGGAGGAGUUCUAUAUGCAUACAUGAUGUUGUGAAGGUAGGCAACGAGAAUGAUCAACAUCAUAUCAUUGUGAGGUUGUUCUUGAACCCCUACUCGAACUUGCAUGGUGGGAAUGACUUAACUAAGUGCAAUGGAACCAACAUCAUAUCAUUGUGAGGCUUCAUUCUCUAGAGGCCAAAUAAGAUGGGUACUUGCAAGAGAUGCAAAUGAGUAAGCGUACUCUCUCAUUAUUAUUGAUGCUAGCCAACAUCAUAUCAUUGUGAGGUGGGCUUGGUAAUAGUGAGUCUCCCAUACCCUACUAAGAGUUUCCUCCAAAACUCUCGAAUUCCGAUGAGGGAUAUGAAAUUUGCCAAAAAUAGUGGGUGGUGCUAUUUGAUUUAAAGACCCGGAUCAAAUGGCUUAAAUCAAUCAAUUUAUAUUCGUUAUGUAUUUAUUUACCGAUAUAUUUGUAAACACUAUCCAAAACUUGACAAAGAAAAAACCGAAAGCUUUAGUUUCCAGACUUGGUACUACAAUCCCAUAGAUUGUCUUUAAUGGCUUGUAUAUGUACCUAAGUAGUCUCAUCCUCACAAUCUUCCUAUUGAUAAUGUAUCAUCGGAAUAACAUGUUAGAUAAGUCUAUCAUAAAGAGGACAACACUUUUAAUGUCAUAAUUCUUCAAUUGCAAAUUGUUGUAUGAAGAAAUAAGAGUUGCUUUGAACAACUCUUAGUUAACGCAAACAUUAGUGUUUGUUUCUUUGUUACAUGAACAAGGAACUUGAGAAGUAAGCACAAGGGCAUGUACACUUUAUGUGCCAUGAUUCUUCACUUACAAAUUGUUGUAUGAAGAAAUGAGAGUUGCCUUGAACAACUCUUGAAAGUUUGUAAUUAUGUUUAUAACAUAAUGGUUGGUUGACAAAAAUAGUCCAUCAACAUGGACUUAUGAUGAUUUUUGAAUCAUUGAGUGUUGAAGUGUUAAACCACUUCACGAGACAGAAACUAGGCAAGGACUUCACCUUUUGUGUCCCUAUCCAAAUGGUUCACUAAGUUUAUUGUAAACUAUAUAGUGAACAAUAACCACACACACGCUCUCCAAAAUUGUUUGAUGUGUAUAACACAAUUGAAAAUAAGUUUCAAGAGAGAUAGUGGGAGUUUAGGGACCAUGACUAUUGUAGUCAAAGGAGAAGUCAAAUGAAGAAGGCGAAAUAACUCCAAGGGAACAAACUUUCUUUAUGAAAGGAUGGACAUUGGAAGGGGUAUUUGCAAGAAAUGUCUUGCAAGUGUCAAGAACACACCUUUCGAAGGUGUUGUAAAUUGUUCUUGAAUAGUUCAAAACAGUUGGUUCUUCUACUUGAAUGCUUGAUUCCGUAUUAGUAACUAUGUUUUACAAUCGUUGUAAAAGUGUGGCUAAUAAGAAGUAGAAGAUUAAUGAGAGAAGAGAAAGUACUUCACAUUCGGAACGUGAAUCAAAUGUAGAUCUUUGCGAAAGCAGGUAGUACUUACUUCCUCAUAUGAACUACCAAAGAAAAUGGAAAAACAAAGAUUGUCUUUACAUUUCAAUUUGAAUAAAGGAACAUAAUUCCGUAUGAGAAAUGGAUGAAUGUUUUGUUUGACAAAACAUUGUUCUUUAUUAAUGAAUGAUUAGAUUAUUGUAAUAUAAUUGAUUAUUGAUAGGAGCAUAUUUAUGCGACUUAAUUGGCUUGUUCUUGUGCGUUUACGUUGUGUUUCUUUAGUUAUUUUAGUGUUUAAAGCCAUUUUCAUUUGUUUGUAGGUCUUAAUAACAACCUUGGCAAGAAAAGUGCAUUUUGGUGCAUGUUGGAUCAAUAUUGGGCUCAAAUGGAUUGCAUGCAUGAGGAUGGACGUUUUGGGCAUAUGUGUGUGCAAGUGUGUGUGUGUAAUUGCAAGGAUAAACAAUGACAACUCAUACACAUGCAAAGAAGCCCACAUGCAAAGUGAAAGACUCUAAGUACAAAGUAUGCAAGAAAAUGCAUUUUGAAGGCCUUUAGAGCAUGUUUCGGGCUUGGAAUGGAUAGCAAAUGCAUGGGCCAAAGUGGAUGGACGAAUUUGAGAACUAAAGAGGCCAAGAAUGUGAAGAAUUAGUGUCCAAAAGUUAAAGAAUUCAGCCCAAAAAUUUGUCACUCCAAGUUGCACACUCCUUGCCAUGCAAAACACAUAGAAUUCCCUUUGGAUUCCCAUGCCAUGCUUGAUCACUCUUGUCCCCUACAUAAUUUCUGAUUUCAUGCUUUAAUUCAUUUAAUUAUUUCACUCAAUUGCUUGAUACCUCUUGUUCCCUUCACCCAUUAGAUUUUAGACAACCUUUACAUCCAUUACAUGCACCAAUUGAUGCUCUAUCAUUCACAUUUGGAAUCCAAUGGCAUGUGUCACACAUGUUGUUGCACCUUUGACCCAUUUGUUGACACAUUUCACCUCCCUUUCCAUCUCUAUGCAAUGUACAUAAUCAUUCAUGCUCCCUAGCUGCAACACCACUCCAUUUUACCCUUCACACUUUGCAUCAUCACUUCAUUUUCACCCUUGGACCAUUGCACACCACACACACCAACUUGCCAUGCAUUUCAUCCCUAGCCUAACCUGAUUUUCUAAGGUUUUUGGGGCCUAUAAAUACAUGUUUACACCCCUUGGCCAAAGAACAAUCCCCCAUAUUCAUCAUUUUAUCACAGAAAUUCGUCCAUACACACCCUAGGAAGCAAAACACCCCAAAAACACCAUUCUAGUGCCUAGAAAACAUAACAGCCACUCCACCUUCUUCCACCCUCUUUGCCUAGUUCUCCACCACCUUCCAACCAUCAAACACUCUUCCACACUCACCCUAAACCCCUCCAUAUCAUUCCCCAUCCAUUCUACACCAUAAAUCCACCCAAAAAUCUGUCCACAAGCUUCAUGCCGCAACAAGGAGGAAGGGAGAUCCAUUGAUGCACUUGCUUUCCAAGUUGGAGCAUUUUAGGUGUUUUCUUUCCUUUGAUUUUAAUGUCUAAUUUUAUGUAUCUUUGUAUUGCAAGAAUGAGGAACUAAACCCCCUUAGUUGGGGGGUGAUUCGAAACCAUGUACAUGCUUGCAAUAUGAUUUGAUUACAUUCAGUUGUUAUUUCAUAAGUUGCGGAUUCAAUUCGUUCAUCUACUUGAUUGAUAACUUAUUUGUGUAUGUUGAUUGAGAGUGCACGCUUAGUUUUCAUGCAUGAAUAUGAUGCUAGAUUAUGAGGGAGUUUCACCUAAUAGUUACAAUCUUAUAAUCACAAGUAGUGAAGGUCGCUUGAAAACGAUCGCGUUGAAUGAAUUCUUGGCACUAGUUUCAUGCUCAUCAUAGUAACGAAUGCCUCGUCAACACUUAUAGUUCUCAUUGUGUGCUUCAUGAUUCUUGAUUGUAUCUUUAUUGUGCUCAUCACGUAAGGAACCUUUGAGGAAUGCUUUGAAUUGUUGUAUGCGCUUUUCCAUCCAAUUCAUUAACUUAAGGAGAACUUGAAGGUUAAUUUAAGCGUAUCUAAUUAACUUGGGGUGUUGAGUUUCAUAAUUUAUUGAAAGAACAACUGAAAAUCAUUUUGUUUGCAAGUGUGUCAUGUGUGAGAAGAACCUCCUAACUAGCCUUUUAUCCAUCCUUUUCAUCCAAAAACGUUUUACAAUCUGUUUUGUUUUAAAGUUUCUGUUUUGUUUUUCAAUUUUCGUCCAAAACAAAUCCCCCUUUAUUUUGAAGUCUUAGAUUAGUUAGAAAGUGUUUUGAUUUGUGUUUCUAAGUGUUUUGAUUCAAGUUUUCAUCCAACUUCGUCCAAGUUCUUGUUAGGUUCUCAAAACUGCCCAGAAAGUGGUUUUUAGGCAGUUUUGAGUCAUUAGGUUGCUGUUUUGAGUUUUAUGUUUGUUUAAGUAUUUUAAAGUAUAGUUUUGCAUUCUUUGAGUCUAGUUUAGUGUUUUAAAUUUUGUUUUUAUGUUUUUAAGUCAGUUUUCAAGUGUUUAGCAAUCCCUCCUAAUCCCCGGCCUAGAACGAUCCCUACUUACAUACUUUACUACAUUUGAUAAAAAGAGGGUUUAAUUUUUGUGUGUUAACUUAUUUUACGCAUCAAAUUUUGGCGCCGUUGCCGGGGAUUAGCAACUUUGCUAAUCUCUUGGAUUGUUUUCUUUCGAAUUAUUGUAUUUUGUUUAAGUUUCUGUUUAAGUUGCUGAUUUGUUUUGUUUUCUUUGUUUUUAGGUACUAGUUUAUGACCCGUAGCUCACAACCUGUUCGUGAGCAUAUCUCCGACUUUGACGGUGAUUUUGAGAGGACUUUGAGAAGGAAAAAGAAAUUGCAAGAGUCUAAUCCUCCUAGUCCCGAGCCUGAAUUAGAAGAGCAAGAAGUUGAGGUUGAAGAGAAGGCCACGGCACAAGUGGGUGGAGAAGAGCAAGGUAUAGCCAUGGACAACCGUACACUCAAGGAGCUUGCCGCCUCGGGUUUGGAUAAUGCCGCACCAUUGUGUAUCCAAUAUCCCAUGGCUGCUCAAGGUAAAACCGAAGAGUUCGAGUUAAAGUCAAGUUUGCUCCACCACAUUCCAAAGUUCCAUGGGCUUUCCAUGGAGGAUCCGAACAAACAUUUGAAGGAAUUUGAAGUGGUGUGCUCAAGUAUGACUCCGGUUACCGUUGACGGAAGUAUUUUAAAGAUGAAGGCUUUUCCAUUCUCUUUAAUGGACAAAGCCAAGGAUUGGUUAUACGAGUUGGCUCCCGGUACAGUUACAUCUUGGGAGAGUAUGAAGAGGGCGUUUCUGGAGAAGUUUUCCCAACUUCUCGCAUCAUUCUUUUUCGUAAAAAAAUAAGUGGAAUUCAGCAAAGCCAAGGUGAAUCUUUUCCAUCUUAUUAUGAACGAUUUAAAUCACUUGUUGCUUCUUGUCCACAACAUCAGAUGAAGGAGGAGUUACUUCUUCAAUACUUUUACGAAGGUCUUUUACCACUUGAACGGCAAAUGUUGGAUGCUUCCGCGGGAGGAGCUCUAGUGGAUAAGAUACCUAGGGAUGCCAAAACUCUCAUUGCGAAUCGAGCACUCAAUGCACAACAAUAUGAAGGUGUUGGGCAAAGAGACACCCCACGGCCAUAUCAUGUCAAUGAGGUAAGUUCUAUUUUUGAGUUACAAUCCCAAAUGGCUAACCUUACGUCUAUGUUAUCGCAGUUGGUUGAAGGCCCCAAAACGCAAGGAACUACAAUCUGUGGUGUAUGCUCCAUUCAAGGACACCAAUCUGAUCAAUGCCCUCAAUUAAUUGAGAAUGGAGGAUGGGAAUCGGCCAAUGCUGUGGGUUAUGGGAAUCAAAACCAACCAAGGAAUGAUCCUUUCUCCAAUACAUACAACCCGGGAUGGCGUGACCACCCCAAUUUCAGAUGGAGAGAUGCACCACAAUAUGGCCAACAAAGUGGAUUCCGACAACCCCCGGGUUUCUUUCCAAGGCCAAUGGAACCACAACCACCUCCUCAAGCACAAUCUUCCCAAACUAACCCAGGUACAUCUAUGAAUGAUGAUAAAACAUAUCAGUUACUAACCACCAUGGCGCAGGGAAUGCAGAACCAAACAAAGGAGGUUAAUGAGCUGAAGAAGCAAAUGGGCCAAAUGGCCGAAUUUUUGGGGCAAUUCCGUGAAAAUGGUAAGUUACCAAGCACUACGGUGGUCAAUCCAAAGGGUGGCUUCGAAUCUGCAAAGGCUAUCACAUUACGAAGUGGAAAAGAGGUGAGAAACAAGGAAGAUGAGAAGAUACAACUCGAAGAAGAUGAGAACACCUACCCCACGGCAAGGGUACCAUCACCCAUGCCGCAGCCAUCUAAGACAUCCCAUCCGUCCACCUCAGGUAAGAAUGUUCCAAAUGUUGUGAUUUUGAACACUAAUCUGCCCAAUGUCCCCUUUCCUAGCAGAUUUUUGCAAUCAAAGAACGAAGAGGAGGAAAAAGAUGUUCUAGAGACAUUUAGAAGGGUGCAUGUCAACAUUCCCCUCCUUGAUGCCAUAAAGCAAAUCCCGAAGUAUGCCAAGUGUUUAAAGAAGCUUUGUACAACAAAGAAACGUGUCCGGGAGAAAGAGGUGGUACAUGUAAGUGAGAAUGUCUCCGCCAUCUUGCAACAUAAACUACCCCCCAAAUGCAAAGACCCGGGAAGUUUUACAAUUCCAUGUGUCAUUGGUAAUACCCGUUUCAAAUCUGCCAUGCUAGAUUUAGGUGCAUUCUAUUAAUGUUAUGCCAUAUUCCAUUUCUGUGCAUGCAUCUAUGAAUCUAGGAGCACUUGAAACAUGAUGGUGUAAUCAUACAAUUGGCCGAUAGAUCUAACGCUUAUCCAAAGGGAGUUUUGGAAGACGUUUUAGUGCAGGUUGAUCAUUUAGUCUUCCCAGCGGAUUUCUAUGUCCUCGAAAUGGAUGAAUCGGACCAUGCCCCUUCAUUGCCCAUCCUCAUUGGAAGGCCAUUCAUGAAAACGGCUCAAACGAAGAUUGACGUGGCCAAAGGAUUAGUCACUAUGGCAUUUGGUGGUGACAUGAUUAGUUUUAAAAUUUCUGAAUCCAUUGAGACUCAUAAUAUUGUUCAUUCUUGUUGUGCCAUUGGUAAAAUUGAAAAGAUAAAUCGGACCAUUCAGCACCAAGCACGAAGGAUGCAUCAAGAACCAUGCAAGACGAGGGAAUUGGAGUGGAGUACAAGGACCAUACGGCCACUGCUCUCAAAAUGCUCAAAUUGGCCGAACGCACCAUGGGGAAGAAUGUUCACAUUGCUGCCACUUCAUCACAACACAUAGGUAAGCCACCUAAUCCAAAUCCAAUUUCCAUUAAAGUUGAUAGGUGGUUCCCUUCUUUGGUGCAGGUACCCAAGCAAAUCCCCGAUGGUGGGCGUAUGAACAUGAACCUUAGGCAACACAACGCACCCAUCAACAAACAUCACUAUCCAUUUCCGUUCAAGGAUGUAAUCUAUGAGAACUUUGUUGAGCAUGUUGUGGAGGACAUUCCCUUGCAUGCCGUGGGCUCCAGUGGGGAGUAAUUGUGUUCAUCGUCCGGCUGGAAGACGUUAAAGCAAGCGCUUUAAGGGAGGCAACCCAUUUAUUCUGCUUGAUUGUCAAUUUUAUUACUUGUUUAAUUAUUUUUGGUUGUGACUUUCUAUUUUGAAACAUUAACAAAUAUGCAAAGGAUUUUAACAUUAAACUUCGUGGAAAUGAACAGCAAACUGGGAAAUAAAAAGAACAUAGCAUAAUACAAGAGGGAGCCUUCACAAAGGCUGCUUGGGAGAGGUCGUAGUCGGCGGAGUUGCAGUAGUCGGCGGAGUCUCAGCAGUCGGUGGGGCCACGGAAGGAGGAGGUAUCGGAGGUUGAUCAGUUGGAGCUUCACUACGCGGUGCCGCCCCAGAAGACGAAGGCAGAUGCUGUUGGAACAAACCCACAAACCUCCGGUGAUCAAGUAAAAUCUGACCAUCAGUUUCCUGCAGCUGGUCAAUUUUCCUCUUCAUAUUUGUGGCAUAACUGUGUGCAAGCUUGUGCAAUUGUUUAUUUUCAUGCUUGAAUCCUCUAAUCUCCUCUUUGAGACUCUGUAUUUCAGCCACCAACGAUUCAACGUGACGGGUUCGAGCAAAUAGGCGUUGGGCCAUGUUGGACACAGAACCCGCACACUGCACGCUAAGAGCCAGAGACUCCUUAACCGCCAAUUCAUCAGACCGUCUAGCGAGCAGUCUGUUAUCUUUGGGGGUGACAAGGUUCCGGGCCACCACCGCAGCGGUCAUGUCAUUUUUCAUCACCGAAUCCCCAACGGUAAGAGGACCAGUAGGGGAUAUGAAGGACGGGCGCCAUAUGUUGUCUGGAGAAUGCGGGGCUGCACCUUCACCAAGGUUCAAAUCAAAACGACGAUCAGAAGGGCCAGACAUUUUUCAGAGGUUUUGGAGAAAGAAGAGAUCGGACAGAUUAAGAUUUCGGAAGUGCAAGAAGGGAGUGUUUACAGGAGGGAGCUCAAGUGUGUUGUGGAACAAAAUUAACGCCUCUAUAAAAAGAAGAAAUCAAAGAGGCGCUCCUCAGAAAUCGAAGAAGCGUCCUCUCGCAAAUCGAAGAGUCGAGGCUCCUUUCUCAAAAGCCGGAUUCUUUUCUCAAAAGAGGCGUUUCAUUUCUUAAAAAAUGGGCUUGCUCAGAAACCACGAGCCGAACCCCGAAUUUCAAAAGAUCAAUUUGUCCAGACGUGUCGUCACUCGUCACAUGCAACUUGCAGCUUUGCGGAAAUUACGGGCAGCUUUGUCAGAAAGCGCGUAAUUUGUACUAUUCAUCCAUCCACCGGCUGCCGACAAUGAGUGAGAGAAUAGUUCCGGUUGUGAAGAAAAGCCCUAUAAGUAUCUACCUUCGCCUUCCACAGCAAAGGCACACCCUCUCAGCACUUCUUCAUCACUUCUAUAAACCAACUAACAAAUGUUGUUUUGUUGGGUAGUUCAUUGUAAUCCUACAAUAUGAUUUACCUAAGCGCAAAUGAACGAGAGAUAAAACUCAAAGAAUGGGUUCUUUGAGAGACAAGAUGAUAAUCAACAAAUAUAACAACCUAGUUCCUGCACCACAAGCUCCAAGGUAGUCGAGAAGGAUUUAUAAACUGUCUCAGUUGAAUGGUUUGAACUUUAUGACUAUGUCAUAGAGUUACACCUCUUAAUUCGAAAGAAAUAAGAAUGAAAAUCCUUAUAACUACAUUGAGUGUAUAUACGACAUAUACUCAAGGAAAUGGUAAAGUACCAUUUGACCCGAAAUAAUGAAACCUUUAUAGCUAAUUGGUAGCUUACGGUGACUACAAUCAAAGAGAAUGGUUGACUUGGAAGAAACCAUCUUUGACAUAGUCUUGGUUUCAAUUAAUUCAAAGAUUGCUAGCUACAACUAAAUGGUGAUUCAAUGUUUGGACAUAAUAUGGGUUUCCGAAACCAUUAUUAAGAUUGUCACGCCCCGAUCCCAACAUACGUCCAAAAUCGACACGUGACGUCACCAAUACUCGUACAUCUAACAUACCCCGCCUCCGGGAUAUGUACAAAGCAUAAAUCAAGAUUCAAAUUUCAUAGCAUUUUUCGUACAAUUUAUGGUUGCAUCUAACCUCUUCGUUAGACUGCCUACGUACCCUCAAUAGGGAUGAAGCCAUUCAUAGUUCAACGUUCGUCAAACUUUAAUCUUUUCGUAAAAUACUUAUAGUGAAAAAAACAUAGGGUACCACAUUACGAAUCAACCAUAAGCCAUACACAAUUAUCAUCUUGUCAUGCACGCAGGUAUGCUAUGCCCACACAUAUUUUCCACUUCAUCCUUCAUAUAAAUCACUACAUUUCACAUGAUUCUCCAUUUCAUAAUAUGCAACAUCUCAAAGAACAAUCAACGGAUCACCAUGAUAUUCUCUAGCCAAAAUAGUCAACGAGUCUAAUUAUAAUGACAAAAAUCACAACCAACAUUAUUCCACAAUCACAUCAAUCAACAACACAUCAUAUACCAAAAUGCAAGGCUAGAGCGACAUAGUUUGGCCGAAGCCUACAUCUCUAAAGUUAAUAUCAAUCCAAGGAACUAACAAGUCAAUGAUAGGAUUCCGGACCAUCACUCAACAGAAUCCAAACCAGGAUACGAUUCCGGACCAUCACUCAACGGAAUCGCAGAGUAGAAGGGAUUUCAGACCAUCACUCAACGGAAACCAAACAGAACUUAGUUUCGAACCACUCAAUAGAACCAAACGGAAGUCCCAGAAGCAUAACUACGACUCGAAUGAACAAGACAGGAUUCAAGUUACUCAAUUCACGAAGACUCAACAAAAUGAACUAAUAUCGAGCAACAAAUCCCUAUCACAAUGGGUUAUCGGUCCAUUACUAGAUCUCACAUCGCCCAAGCAAUUCAAUAUGCAUUUCAAUCACAUGACACAACCAUUUCCAAUACACAAGUCAAAUCACAUUUCACUACAUCAUACCAAUCACUAUGCUUCCAACAUUAUAUCUCAAUCCAUAGCUUGUAACAUAUCAGGGAAUCACGAAGCACAAUAUUAAUAUUUAAUUACAUUAAUCAAUCAGUGAGAUAGCGCAUCAUUUCACGAGUUUAAUUAAAGAACUCUACAUAAUUCCCUACUUGGGUUAUGAAUAAUAACAUGGUAAUUCUAAUUUGUAUGCACAAGAUCCAUUGUGCGUAAUUCUCAUUCACUCGAAUCUAGGAUUCUAAGAUAACCUUAUGGAAAUGAGCAAAAGCAAGGAUUUCGGACCACUCAACAGAAUCCAACAACAUUGGGUUCCAGACCACUCAAUGAAACCAAAUUACAAGUAUGAGAUAAUCAAUAAAAAGAAAGACCAUUGAUCAUAGUUUAUAACCUCAAAUAUAAGUUCGUAAAUAUGAAAACAUAAUCAAGUCUUUAACAACUCCGAAGGAGUCACCCAGACAUUCAAUGACUUAUCCCAUUCAAACCAUCAAGAUUCUCAAAAACCAUCAUUCAUAUGUACAUUAAAACUAGGGUUAGAAUGACGCAGUUCAACUGAAGCCCACAUAAGUAACCAAACAGGAAGUGCCCCCCCCAAAGCAGAUUAACCAAGCAGAGCCACCAUUGAGAAAGUAACCAAGUAGGCAGUGACCCCCCAAUACGGAUUAACCAAGCAGAGUCACCCCUACAACUAUUAGGAAGUGAUCACCCAAUGCGGAUUAACCAAGCAUGAUCACUCCUAAGCAUACAUGGCCAUAAGGAUUACCCAACGCAGAUUAACCAAGCGCGAUCCAUAUAUAGUAUGGUCCCCCAAUGUGGAUUAACCAAGCAGGACCACUAAUGACCCCUCAAUGCGAAUUAACCAAGCAGGGUCAAGAUAAUCAGGUAGGUAGUGAUCACCCAAUGCAGAUAUACCAAGCAUGAUCACUCCUAGAAUGCGUAUGGUCCCCCAAUACGGAGAUACCAAGCAGGACCAUCAAUGUACAACUACUACAUGGUGUAGUAAACUCAACACCUCAACUUAUCCACAUCUCAACCCCUAUGAGUUACAACAUAGUCACCUACACCAUCAACUUCUCGAGGUCACCACUAAUAUGUCACCCAAGCAUAUAAGUGCUACAACAUACCUCUAAUAGGAUUCUAGGAUCACAUUGUCAUGAAAAUAAUCAUACACCUCAUACAUAUGUAACCACAUUUCAUAAACGUUUCCAAGCUAUAGUCGAUUCACAAUUACUAAACAUAGAUCGAUGCUAAAAAUAAAAAUAACAAUUCAAUAGAAAGCACAUUUAAUAAACAAGUAUAACUCAAUAUGGUGCCACUAAUACAUAUAUCGAGACACACGUCAACUGGGAACGACACGUCAUCGUGAUGAGCCAACUAAGCUCCAUCAAGCCUUAACAACUUUAGAGAUAAGCGACACUUUAGAGUAGAGCACGAUGAUUAGAACAUCAACCGUUGAUAAGGUAGGUCCAUUAAGGUCAACAACCUAAGGUUAUUCAAUCUGGAAGAUCCGUACAUCAGAUUUCCGAUCUGUAAGUUCUCAAAAGUCCAACAACUGAUAACUAGGGUGUUCGCAAAAUUGUACGACGAUCCAACGAUCGGAUUGUCAUCAAUCAUACAAACAAGUGGUGGUCCAAUUUGAUCACCACACCAAACAAUUGAAUUUCGGCAAAACCAAGCUAGACAUAGGUUCACAGGGUCACUAGAAGGUAUUUGGUACUUAAACAACACUCGUGGACUGUCCCACUCACCGCCACACGUGGUGGUAGCCAAGAUGGAGGGUUUAGAAAACCCAAAUUUUCAAUAUUAAUUAAAUGAGUUCAAAUUUACGUGGUAGCUAGAGCUCAACAAGGGAAACACUUUUCACAACUAGCCCAACGAAAAAUUCAAGCCUUAUGCCAUCCAAUUUCACCAGGGAAAACUGGAUUUCUAGGGUUCUAAACACCCAACACUAAAAUGACUACAAAAACACAAACCAAGCAUACUAACUUGAAGAUUAUGAAGAGCAGGUAAAGUUUCAUACCUCACUCGAAGGAAAUGAUUGUUGGAUUCACCGGAAAAAUGCUAAAACCGCCGGAAACCCACGAAAUUUUGUUGCCUUGAACUGGAAAAAUGGAUAAGAAAAUGGGAAAUCUAAAAAUACGGAGAUGUAGGGCUCACCAAGAGUUUUCCAUGGACAUCAAGAUCACCAAAACGGAGCUCGGAUGAAGGAGAUACAAGCGGGUCAAGUUUGUGGAUCAAAAGGGUCGAAAAUGCCCAAAAACGUGUCAAAACCAGACCAUCCUUCCUCUUUUUUUUUCUUUUUUUUCUGUCCGUGCCUUUUUAUUUUCCAUUUCUCCCUAGUCCCUCUCCCACUAUGUGGGAGUUUUAAAAUAAAUUAAAAUAUAUAGUUUAGUAACACAACUUCAAAUAUUCGUAACUAUACCGUUAAAACUCGGACUCGCAAGCGACUUUCGCCUAUACGUUCAUGAUCUCAAAAUCUAUUCAACGAUAUAAAUUGUGACCUCGAAAGGUCUACGGAUUUUAAAUAAUUAAUCUCCAAACUUCAAACUUCGUAACUAAUUUAAUUAAAAUCUUAAUUCAAACAAAUUAAAAUAAAUUCUCGAAAAAUGAUAUAAAAUCUCAAUAAUACAAAUACGUAGAUUAUAACAGUGAAAUCCAGGAACGGGAUUUCACAAAGAUAGUCUUGAUAAUAUAUGUCUGAAACUAUGAAUCACAAGACUUGUAAGUUGUGGAGAUCCAUCCAUCAUGAAUCUUAGCAAGCUAGUGGGAGCUAUAAGCGUCUUAUGAGAGAAAGAUCAAAUCGUUUGAUUUUUCAUAAAGAUGUAAAUGAAUCCUUUGUUUACUAGGUUUACAAUAGAUUAAUGGGAGUUAAUCAUGUUCCUAAAUUUGAAUAUAUAUAUAUAUAUAUAUAUAUAUACAUAUAUAUGAUAUAUUAAUUUUGGAAAUGAAAAAGAAUACUUCUUCGUUAAAGUUAUGACUUUAAACAUUCUAUAACGAUAGAAUGUAUAUGGGAGACAUAUAUAUAUACAUAUAUAUGAUAUAUUAAUUUUGGAAACGAAAAAGAAUACUUCUUCGUUAAAGUUAUGACUUUAACCAUUCUAUAACGAUAGAAUAUAUAUGGGAGACAUAGUCUAUAAACAUGGGAUGAAAAUCUAUAAUGAUAGAUUUCAGGAUAUAAUUGGAUUAUAUCAAGCCCUAAUGAUAGACAAAAGUUUAGACAUCGAAAUUUCGGUGAAAUAAAUGUUGAUCAAUAAUUAAAAUUUCAACGUUCAUGUGUCACAUAAAUUUUACACAUAGCAUGUGACGAAACGAAAAAUCAAAAUAAAUCGGAAAAGUCAUCAAACAGGACACGUGUCAACACCUGGCAGAAAUGAUUUAUUUCAUCUGAUUAUUUAAAUCCAAAAAAUCAAGUUUUGGAAUUCUAUAAAUAGGAGGCCAAGACAUUCAUUUUGGGGACACCAAUUCAUAACCAAUUCACCUCACACCAAAACCUUGAAGCUUUGAAACUCCAAAGCUCCCAAGCAAAUCCCGAAGGAUCAAGAAAGCUCUCUUCGUUCUUCGUCAAAUGCUCAUUCAAAAUCAAGCCCCAAUGACACUUGAAGAACUUCUACUAAUUCAAGAUCAAGCCCCGACGACCCUUGAAGAAAGUGUCCAUCAUUCAUCAUUCGUUCAUCCCUAGAUCAAGCCCGAUGGCCCUUUGGAUCAACGACGUCAACAAAUCCGCACAACUGUUUAUCCCAAGAUCAAGCCCCGACGACCCUUUGGAUCAACAACAUCAAAUCCACCCAUUACAAAGAUAGAAUCAGAGGCUAAAUUUGUAGAAGAGAUUGUAACCCCUAAAUCAUCAAUACAAAUAUAAUUUUGUACACGUGUUCUUGUCUCGUUCAUCGCAGGAAUUUCCGUGUUUACAAAUUUGGCACGCCCAGUGGGACAAUCUCUACCUCUCAUCUUUAUCUUUGAAUCCGCAAAAAGCACAAAUGACAUCAAAGAAGGCUCAAGUUGUUCUCGCAGCCAAUGCAAGGAACAAGAGCGUUAUCACCGCAGGCGGUGUCACUUCGGGCGUCACAACUCGAAGCAAGGCAAUAGCUCUUUCUGCCGCCUCUUCCACCCUUGCAUCAACUCCGCCGAAGGAACAAGAGCACCUAAGGCACAAACCUAUGAUCACCCUGGCCUCGCUAAGGGCACCAAGGAAGGAAAGCCCAAUGAAGUACUCUGGUUGCAUGCUUUCUGAUGCCGACUCAAGCGGCAACUUAGCCAUGCAAGUCAUGACUACUGGAGCGACUUCAAUCGAUGAACAGCUGGCUCAUAUGAAUGAAGCGAUCGCAAGGCUAACACGGAUUGUGGAAGAAAAAGACCAGCAAAUCGCCGCACUCGUCAACCAACUAGACGUAAAACCCAACGUGAAAAUCGAGCAAGGGGAUGAUUCAGUAAAGAAGGAAAAUGACGAGGAUGAAGAGCAUCCGGUGGAGAAAAUCGAUGUGAAGCCGGAGCCAGGCCAAGCAGCGGCACUCAUGAGAUCUCUUUCUAUCCAACAACUGUAAGAAAUGAUCGCCAACAUCAUCAAGGCACAGUAUGAAGGAAGUUCACAUGACUCCGUACUAUACUCAAAACCCUACUCCAAGAAAAUUGACGCUUUGAAGAUGCUAAGGGGUUACCAGCCACCAAAGUUCAUGCAGUUCGAUGGAAAGGGAAACCCGAAGUAACACAUCGCCCAUUUUAUUGAGACUUGCAACAACGCAGGGACAGAAGGAGAUUACCUCGCUAAGCAGUUUGUACGCUCGCUGAAAGGAAAUGCCUUUGAGUGGUACACGGACCUAGAGCCUGAGUCCAUUAACAGUUGGGAGUAAUUGGAAAAGGAAUUCCUCAACCGCUUCUACAGCACCCGCCGCACCGUGAGCAUGUUAGAGCUGACGAACACGAAGCAAUGGAGGGAUGAGCCAGUCGUGGACUACAUCAACCGAUGGCGCAAUCUAAGCCUCGACUGCAAGGAUAGGCUCUCAGAGAUCUCUUCAAUCGAGAUGUGCGUCCAAGGCAUGGAAUGGGGGUUACACUAUAUCCUUCAAGGCAUCAAACCACAGACCUUUGAAGAGUUAGCCACCCGUGCCCACGACAUGGAGCUAAGUAUUGCUCAUCACAAGAAGAAAAAGCCGAUCACCGACUUCAAGAAGGAUAAGGUGUUCUCCCCAAAUGUAGAAAAGACUGGGAAGGAACCCCCCAAGGAAGCGUUCACUGUCAGCACUGCGCCCAUCAAGACCGCCUCCGCGCCUAUCAAGAUCUCCUCCAAAACCAAAGCAAAGGAGAUAAAGAGAGGUGAGCCUUCUUGCACCCAAGAAAGGUACAAAAGCACCUUGAGGGAAUUGGAGCAGAAGGCGUACCCUUUUCCUGACUCAGACAUGGAUGCAAUGUUAGACGACUUGCUGGAAAAAAAGGUAAUCGAGCUACCCGAGUGCAAAGGCCUGAAGAAAUGAAUCGCAUAAACGAUCCUAAAUACUGCAAGUACCAUCGAAUCGUGAGCCAUCCUGUGGGUAAGUGCUUCGUCCUCAAAGAGCUCAUCACGAAGCUAGCACAACAAGGGCGAAUCGAGCUCGACCUCGAAGACAUGGCCGCAACAUAUACUACUACAAUUGCAUUUGGAUCUUUUGAUCCCGUACCUCUCCAAACAACAUCUGACUGUUCCUAUCAGUGCUCAAGUUGCACGAUACCUUCUGCGCAACCAUCGCUGGGGGAAAACAAACAUGAUGCACAUACCGAUGAUGAAGAAUGAUGGACAUUGGUGACCUACAAAAAAACAAGGAAACCAAAACCACAAGCCACAAGACCAAAGGUGGAACAAGUGAGAAAGCAUCAUCGCCGCAACAGUAGGAAGCCCAAAAGAAACGUAAAAGUUGAUAAGCCAACGUAUGCUGGGGAACCUAUGGAGCAAGAGCCACGCAUUCCUGUCUCAUUGCAUGAGUACUUCCCGAAUGACUUAUUCCAACAGUGCAUUAUCGCUGCAUGCCACAUGGUCGAAGUAGAAAUGGAAGAACCUUCAAAAGGCAAAGAUAUCACCACUAAGGGAGAAAAAACUCUCACACUCGAAGAAGGUCUGCCAACACACUUUAGCAUUGAGGAAGUGCUACGAUUGCCAAAGAAGAUGCGAAGCGCAUUAGCAGCGGUCUUGGAAAGUCCCAAUGACCACGAAGCGCAAGAAAGCAAAGAUGAAGGCUUGAAGCUUCAGCCACAUGAAUGUGCCAUCGAGGACACAAUCCACUUCACCGACGAAGACUUGCUGCUAGGAUCCAAGCCUUACAACCGUCAUCUCUUUGUCUCUGGGUACGUAAUGGAGCACAAAGUCAACUGCAAGCUUGUGGAUGGUGGAUCAGCCAUAAACAUCAUGCCAAAGUUAACAAUGAAUACAAUCGACAUCAAGGCGGAUGAAGUGUCCCUAAGUCGUCUACUAAUCCAAGGUUUUAAUCAAGGAGGACAAAGAACGAUUGGCAUGAUUCGAGUGAAGAUGACUAUUGGUGAACUCAAGUCAAGCACGAUAUUCCAUGUGAUUGAUGCAAGAACUUCCUACGACUUGCUCUUAGGAAGGCCUUAGAUCCAUGCGAAUGGAAUAGUACCGUCCACCCUUCACCAAUCCUUAAAAUUCUACCGAGAAGGAGUGAAGGUGAUCUAUGGCGAUACCAAACCAUUCACCGAAGCUGAAUCAUAUUUCGCAGACACCAAGUUCUACAUGGAUGAAGACAUGGUGCCUGAAGCUCUUCCAAAAGAGAUCAAAACCAUAGGUAAAGCAAUACCUAAAAAGCAGGAAUGGCAAGCCAUGCCCAAGAAGCAAGAAGGAGAAGCCAUGCCGUUUUCAAACAAGAACGAUGAUGAGUUUGCUAAACCUGCAAUAACCCGAUGUCAAAAAGGGAGUAGGACACCCUCAAAUGGAUCAAACACACCCGUUUUUCGAUACAUCCCGAUGUCAAAAAGAAAGAAUGGUCAAUCCCCGUUCGAAACUGAAGCAAGCGAAGCCGAUGCACAGCGGCACAGGGAUAAUGUAAAGUUGCUCAAGACGAAUGCAGUUUUACCUUUGACACAGCUAAGCAACGCUAAGGUUGCAAGAUUACCACAAUGCUUCGUAAAAGCUCUACCAAAAGGGGCGGAACCAAUUUUUCUCCCAACCAAGAGGAUCGAAGAAGGUUUUGAUCCAAACGCCUACAAACUCAUGUCAAAAGCUGGGUACGACUUCGCUUCUUCUUCGAAUCCUGGGAAAAAAGGUUUCAAACACCAUCAACAAUAAAGAACGUGACCUCAUCGAGACUCAAAAGAAGUUGAAAAAGCAUGGUUACGGAGUUAACAACAACAAAGCUAGACUUGGCUUCACACCAAAUGCACCCGUGAAGAUUUCAAGCAAAGCGAAAAAUGCUAGCACUCAACAUAUCAGCGUGAGCAUUGAACAAGAUCAAGAAGUGCCUAAAUCCACCCCUUGAACGCCAGUCUUCGAUAGGAUGAAUCAUUUAAGACCCAGAACGUCAGCCUUUGAUCACAUUGGUGGUCAAAACCGAACCUUCGUCGUCAAGAGGCUUAACAGGCCAACAUCCCAAAGCUCUAUUUUUGAAAGGUUGUCAAAACCUAAGAAGCAAAGCAACAAGGCUAGCUCUCCUCCUCAUCAGUCAGCUUUGGAAAGACUUAAAGACAACAGGAAGUUUUCUGGAAAUAGGAAAAUAACGUCAAAGGAAGAAAAGCUCGACAGGCUAGCAGAAAAAGGUGAUAUUCGAAGCUUAAUUCCUUCAAGGAUGAAGCGUCAAGCAAUCUUGGAGGUUGACGCAAAUGGACCACUGAUAGUCAGAAGGCGCACCAUCAUCCAUACUGGACAAUCUUCAUACCAACAAGCCCAAGAGGACGCCACUAAAGAGGAAGUCCAAGAUGUCUUCCACAUCACGAUCCAAGAAGGCAAAGAAGACGAGAUCCUCGAAGAAGAUGUCACUGUUGCACCACCAUAACUUGAGGAUGGGGGCAAGCCACGGUUGACAAUCUCAAGGAGCUCAACUUGGGCACAAAAGAGGAGCAAAAACCUAUCUUUGUAAGUGCACUGCUAAGAGCAGACGAGAUAAAGGAGUACUACCAACUGCUAUCAGAGUACAAAGACGUCUUUGCUUAGACUUACAAAGAAAUGCCAGGCCUUAACCCUGUCAUCGCUGUGCAUCAUCUUGCAGUCAAGCCUAGAACGCGACUGAUAAAGCAAACUCAAAGGCGUUAUCGAUCCGAGCUCAUUCCAUAAUUCGAGACAGAGAUUGACAAGCUAAUCGAAGCAGGAUUCAUUCGAGAGAUGCAAUACCCCAAGUGGAUCUCCAACAUCGUCAUCGUCCUUAAGAAAUCUGGACAAAUACGUGUUUACGUAGACUUCCGGGACCUCAACGACGCUUGCCUGAAGGACGACUUCCCCUUGCCAAUCAUCGGAAUCAUGAUGGACACAACCACUGGCCACGAGGCACUGUCAUUCAUGGACGGCUCUUCUGGAUACAAUCAAAUUCGUAUGGCUCUCGAAGAUGAGGAACUAACAGCAUUCUGCACUCCAAAAGGUAUCUACUGUUACAAGGUGAUGCCCUUUGGUCUAAAGAACGCUGAAGCUACAUAUCAACGCGCAAUGCAGAAAAUCUUCAAUGAUAUGCUACACAAGAACGUAGAAUGUUAUGUGGAUGAUGUGGUGGUCAAAACAAAGAAAAGAUCAGAUCACUUGAAGGAUUUGCGAGUAGUGUUCGAAAGGCUGCGAAAAUACAACCUCAAGAUGAACCCGUUAACAUGUGCGUUUGGCGUCACCUCCAGAAAGUUCCUCGGCUUCAUUGUCAAGCACCGCGGUAUUGAAGUGGACCAAUAAAAAAUCAAGGCCAUUCAAAGCAUGCCUGAGCCAAGAAACCUGCACGAGCUGAAAAGUCUACAAGGACGGCUAACCUUCAUCAGACGCUUCAUCUCUAACCUUGCAGGGUGUUGUCAACCGUUCAGCCGACUCAUGAAGAAGGAUGUUCCGUUUGUAUGGGACGAAGCAUGCCACAAUGCUUUUGAAAGCAUAAAAAAGUAUUUAUCAAGUCCACCUGUCUUAGGGGCGCCUGUGCCCGGGAAACCACUCAUAUUGUACAUCGCCGCUCAGGAAAGUUCAGUUGGAGCACUCUUAGCGCAAGAGAAUGAAUCCCAAAAAGAAGGAGUGCUCUACUACCUCAACCGAACCCUCACCGGUGCCGAGUUGAACUACUCCCCAAUAGAAAAGAUGUGCCUUGCCUUAGUGUUCGCCAUCCAGAAACUCAGGCAUUACAUGCAUGCUUACACCAUCCACUUGGUUGCUAAAGCUGACCCGGUCAAAUACGUCAUGUCCAAACCAAUCUUGACAGGGUGACUCGCUAAAUGGGCGCUGCUGUUUAACCAAUAUGAGAUCAUCUACGUCCCAGCUAAAGCCGUAAAGGGACAAGCGCUAGCAGACUUUCUUGUCGAUCACCCAAUCCCAGCUGAUUGGAAAAUCUCAGACAACUUGCCUAAUGAGGAAGUAUUCUACAUCGACAUCUUCCCAACAUGGACGAUGUUCUUCGACGGAUAUGCACGAGCAGACGGAGCAGGGGCAUGAGUAGUAUUCAUGUCGCCACAAAGGCAAAUAUUACCUUAUUCCUUUCAACUAAGCGAAUUAUGCUCCAACAACGUCGCUGAGUACCAAGCACUGAUCAUCGGACUCCAAAUGGCGAUCAACAUGGGAAUCACAGCCCUUGAGGUAUUUGGCGACUCCAAGCUCAUAAUCAAUCAACUCUUAACUGAAUAUGAGGUGAGGAAAGAUGAUCUCGUCCCAUACUUCCGGCUGGCAACUCAACUGCUACAAGAGUUUGAGACUGUGACACUAGAACAUGUGCCAAGAAAAGAAAAUCAAAUGGCAGACGCUCUUGCCAACCUAGCCUCAAGCAUGACAUUAGGAGAAGACGAAGCUGCAGACGUGCCAAUCUGCCAAAGAUGGGUGAUCCCCCUCGUCACCGAAAUACUACUGGAUGAUACAAAUGUUAUCUCAGUACUUCCAGUGGAUGUUGAAGAGUGGAGACAACCACUGAUCGAUUACUUAGAGCAUGGAAAACUUCCAAACGAUCCUAGACACCGCUCUGAAAUACAUCGACGAGAAACUUGCUUUCUCUAUUACAAAGAAACACUCUACCGACGCUCUUUCGAAUGAGUAAUUCUGAGAUGCCUAGGUGAGGAAGAAGUUAAUCAAGCCAUGGAAGAAGCACACUCAGGCAUAUGCGGGGCGCAUCAAUCUGGACCAAAGCUACAUUUCCAGCUCAAAAGAAUGGGUUACUACUGGCCAAGGAUGGUGAAAGACUGCCUGGAACAUGCCAAAAGGUGCCAAGCCUGCCAAUUCCACGCCAACUUCAUACACCAACCACCUGAGCCAUUACACCCUACAGCUGCUUCAUGGCCAUUCGAUGCAUGGGGAUUGGACGUCGUAGGACCAAUUACUCCGAAGUCAUCUGUAGGAGAAGUUUACAUCCUGGCUGCAACAGAUUACAUCUCCAAGUGGGCUGAAGCCAUACCCCUAAGGGAAGUAAAGAACGAAAUUGUCAUCUGUUUCAUCAAGGAGCACAUCAUCCACCGAUAUGGGGUGCCUCGCUACAUCAUCACUAACAACAGAAAGCAAUUCUCCAACCGACUCGUGGAUGAGCUCUGUGAGAAAUACAAGUUCAAGCAGCACAAGUCUUCCAUGUAUCAUGCCCCGACCAAUGGUCUUGCAGAAGCAUUCAACAAAACAUUGUGCAAUCUCUUAAAGAAGGUGAUCGACCGAACAAAGAGAGACUGGCAUGAAAGAAUAAACGAAGCACUUUGGGCAUAUCGGACGACACAUAGGACUCCUACCCAAGCUACGCCUUAUUCUCUUGUAUAUGGCGUGGAAGCUGUUCUACCGCUCGAAAUUCAAAUCCCCUCACUGAGAAUGGCUAUACAAGAAGGUUUGACUGAUGAAGAGAAUGCAAAGUUGCGCCUUCAAGAAUUGGAAGCACUCGACGAAAGAAGGCUCGAAGCUUAACAACACUUGGAAUGCUACCAAGCACGGCUAUCCAAGGCAUUCAACAAGAAGGUCCGCCCAAGGUCUUUCCAAACUGGAGAUCUCAUCCUCGCAUUGCAUAGGCCUAUCAUCACAACUCACAAGACGAAAAGCAAGUUCACAUCAAAGUGGGAUGGACCAUACAUAAUACAAGAGGUUUACACCAACGGCACCUACUUAAUCAUGGCAGAAGACGGCUUGAAGAUUGGCCCUAUCAAUGGAAGAUUCUUGAAGCGCUACUACCCUUAAAAGGUGACAACUAACACUUCUAGCCCGCAAGAGCAUAAACUGCGCACGGCACAAAAAAAAUGCAUUUGAACUACGUUAUAACUUGAUCCCUCCUCAACCGAGGGUACGUAGGUAACUUGAAACGUCAAAACUUCAAGUACAGUCACACCAUCUUAAAAAAAAAAAAAAAAAAAAAACACUUUGAAGAAUGAAGAGCAAAUUCGAAAAUGUAAAUACUUUAUUUCUUUAAAAGAAGGAGUCGGCUUCAAAGCCUGAUUACAAGAAAAACAGAAGAUACUACUUGAAAACUAUGUCCCUACAACUACGAAGGCGAUCUUCAAGCAAGCCUUCCAAAGUCUUCAAAGUCUCUACCUCGGUGGGAGACAAGAUGGGCAACUCCAUAGUCAUGCCUUUCUCUCGUUCUAAGCGUGAAAUCUCCUCUUGGCAUUGAGAAAGUGUAGUUCCCUGCUCCGCGAGAACACUUUCAAGUUGUGAUGCUUCGAUUACCAACUGCUCUCGCUCUCGCACCAACGCAUCUAGAUGCACCUGGACAGAAGUUAAAGAAGUCUCUGUAACUUGAUAAUCUCCCGAAGCAGCUUGCUGAAAAGACUGGACUUGAGCCAGUGACAAGUUUAUUGUUGCUAACUGAUGAGCUCUAACGUUUGGACUCAACUUCUCCAAGGAAAUCCUUACGCCUGAUUUACCUAGAGCAUCCUGGAAAAGUCUGUGAUACGCCCAAAACAAACAGCGGCAACUCGCAAGCAAUCUUCGGCUAUUGCAAAGAGAAAGUUCCUCCGCGCUGGGAACGACCUCGUCAUAAAAUUUACCUUGGAUCGGCAAGUCUCCUAUCCUGUGAAGAUCCCAAAGUGAAAUUGACAUCUCCCCUUGCACCGUGUGAAGUGUGUUGGUCGCUGAACACCAAUGCUCAAGGAACGCACGAAGGACGGAAUGAUGACGAUCAGAACUAAACAAAGAUGCGUACACAGCGUGGUAAAGGCCCACUUUAGUAAACACAUCUUUAGAUCGGCUUAAGACAUCUUCAAGCCACUCCCAAUAAAACUCAUCAAAGACGGCUUCUCCAGUAGUCGACAGGGUACCAUUCCAAGCCAUGGCUCCGCUGCGAAUGUGAUCACCAAGAAGCUUAAACGAGGCCGGAUGAUGGUCACGAGCAUGGUGCGAAUGAUUCAAAAUAAGAACCCUCAAUGUGCACGCCUUUUUCUUCGUAUUUGGUUGAACAGCGUCUACCACCUCCCAAGAUACUUCAGAAGACCAUGACUUAAUAUGCAUGGAAUUGUCUUUCACGAGAAAAGCAAGCACCUUAGGACCAGUCAGUGGCGCGUAAAGCUUCAACGUUGUUCCCUCAUCUUGUGAAUCGCUUUCAUUCGCAAGAAUGGUGAUGGUGUUGUUCUUAAAACAUUUGAAUACUACCAUGACCGCAAAUCAGCCACAAAACUUAAGCAGCACGACAAAGAUGGCAGCUACAAGAUGGUCCUUCAAGGCACGCUACAGUGGCAAAGGAAACCGAAAUGCUACGCAAUCACACUACGCAAACCCGCAGCGAUUACGCAAGCAGUUUCUUGCACAGCAUGUCGACGUCACCACCAAGAAAGAACUGUGACCAAAAGGCAUUACGCAGCGAAGCCCCGCUGCAGGCUCUUGCACAGCAUCACAAGGCAGCGCGCCACCGAGGGAAAACUGUGGUCAAAAGGCACUACACAGCGAAACCAUGUUGCGGUCUCUUGCACAAGCACACCCACGGCCUGCUACCACGGCUCUAAAAGCUUCGCGAAGAUCCUGGCGUCAAGCUCUGCCUUCUCAAGAUUAAAGAUUUCUAACAUUACAAACAAAGAAAUCCAUCAAUGGGGACACACAUUGUGCGUAAAAAAAAAAAAACACACAUUAUAUUAUGUUUUAUAUAUAUAUAUAUAUAUAGACAUAUGUGUGCACGGUUUGGUGAUGGGACAAGUGCACGGGAUGGAGAUGGUGACAAGACGAUUAACUUCCACAUAUAUAUAUAAGGAAGCAAAUGGAGAUGGUCACGGGGCGAUCAACUUCCAUACAUACAUAUAUAUAUACAUAUACAUACAUAUAUAUAUAUAUAUAUAUAUGGCUUGAAAAGACGCAAAUGGUGAUGGUGAUGGGACAAAUAUAUAUAUACAUAUAUGCAUGGCUCAAAAGAUGGAAAUGGUAUGCACGGCUCAAAAGACACACACACACACACAUAUAUAUAUAUAUAUAUAUACACACACAUGUGACUCACCAAGUAAAAGCAACAUGAAGGAAUUUGUCAUGCCCUGAACCCGGGUCGGUAGUAAAAACUCGAACCCGAAUCCGAAACAUGAGUUAAAAGCUAAAUAAACAAAAGGAAAUUGACACGGGUUGGAAAAAUUAAACUCCUCUUAUUAAAAUAACUCCAAAAUUCUUACAAGGUGUACAAAAAUAAUAAAUCAACACUCUUAUCACCAGUGUUGCCAAAUAAUUCAUCUGUAAAAUAAUAGGUUAGGGGUGAGCAACAACCAUUGUCGCUCAGUAGGGAUAUAACCUUAUCACAGUAAAUUGACAAUAUUAAAUUAUGUGUCAUGAAAUCAUAUAGCCGAAUAUCAAAUCAUUAUUUAUAAAAUAAUACAUGAAUGCAAUUGAACCUCUUCGGCUACCCCCGUUAAUUAAUAUAAUAAAACACGCAGACCUGCAAGUUCCAUACCAUGCAUUUUACCCCCGCAGAGGUGGUUCGAAUGUUCCAUUAUAGAAACCAACCCCCAUACUAUAUCCCAAGUUCAUAAACCCCUUUUUGCUAGUCAUCUUAUCUAAUUCAUUGAUCUCCAGCCCAAAUCACCCACAUCGACAAUUCCCGUCGAUAUCCUAUUCUACUGUGCACAUCGAGCUCGCCUAGAACUGGUUUCACAAUGAAUAGAUUCAACUACACAAAAGAUCCUUUCCAACUACCCUUAUUUCCAUACUUCCAAUUUGAACACUGAAAAUCCAACCACAUCAAUAUGAAUGAUGCACAAAUGUGUCAUUUUACCUUUCACAUAUUUCACAGUAUAUUCUCAACGAAUAGCAUUCCAACAAUAAUUCGAUAACCAAUAACAAGUAAACACUUAACUGAAGCAAUUAGCCAAUUAAACUCAAUCAUAUAAAUCAACCAAAAAGAUCAAGAAUAUUAUAACACUUCACGAAAUUUAAUAAAAUCAAUUUCUGUAAAGGUCUGCCUUAUUUCCCCUACAUGGAGUCCAAAGCAAACAAUCAGUGUCCCUUACCAACACCUCGAUUACACACAACCGUCGCGAUAACUGGAGUUCCUCUAUAAAUAGCACGCUGUUGAUUGAACACUGCAAGCCAUCUCUCAGUUUGCAGCUUCUUACUCAUUUCCCUUAUAUAUAAAAACCUUCUACUCUAUAAUCUGAACUCUAUCAAAUACUCAUGGUAGUUUCACCCUCUCGUUUCAGUUCUGAAGCUCUCUCUAUAUAUAUAUAAACUAAACCAUUUGCAUGCUCCAUGCAAAUUCUAUACGUUCGCGUUUGGAAACCAAAGGGUAACUACCCUAUUUAUAGUUGAAAUGGUCGGCUACAGCACUUAGAGACCAUGAAUAAUAUUAAUAAAGUAUGAAUAGAUAUAUAUAGGAGUUGGGGCUUCAGAUUGGUUCUCAAACCAAAUAGGGAUAAUUUUUUUCCUUACGUCGGCACCUCCUGCUUCUAAAACCAUGAAUCAUACACCUCUUUUGCUUCUGCGUUGUAGUUUGAACUACACGCUAAGGACACCUGUUCACAUACUUGCCACCUCAAGCUAAAAAAAAUGAUACCUUAGAUAGUGAGAAUGCCACCACGUUGACACAGCUCCAUAAUACUCUUCCUCCUACUAACACCUCAUGCUAAGCCAAUGUGGUGAGUCAGCAGCAUAUGUACCGAAACUUCAGUACGAUAAAUAUACAUAAAUCGAUUGUAACUUAAUGGCUAAGUUGUGGAAAUUCUAAACCAAAACUAGGUGAAUAAUAGUAUAUACAUUUUAUAAAAUACGGGUUCUCACAGAAUUGCAGAGGGCAAAGCACAUUAUAUUACAUAUAUAUAUGUAUGCACCAUCUAAAAAAAAGGGGUGAAAGAAUAGUGCAGUAUGCACCAUCUAAAAAAAAAAAAGGAAGUAACACAUCUUAGUCAGAUAUACGUUUUAGCACAACAUACUGAAUAAAAUAAAGCAUGUCCAUUGAUAUCUCUAAGAAAUUACAAGUGCGUAAAAAAAAAAGGGAAAAGAAAAGAAGGGAACAAAAAAGCAAGCCUUCACAAAUGUCACUUAUGUGAAGCCUCAGUACUUGAAGCCUUAGUACUCGGUGGAACCCUAGAAGAGGGAGGCAUUGGAGAUGGAUUAUUCGGGGCCUCAAUACUUGGUCGAACUCCAGAUGACGAAGGCAAAAGGUGCCUCUGGAAUACAUCCACAAAUCUCUAAUUGUCAAUUUGAAUCCGACCUUCGAAGUCCAGCAACUGAUCAAGCUUCCUCUUCAUGCUCGUCGAAUAACUAUUUGCAAGCACAUGCAACUCUCUAUUCUCGUGCUUCAGCUGUCUGAUCACUUGAUUAAGAGCUACUACCUCGACUGUCAAUGAUUCAACUUGGCGAGUUCAAACAAGUAAGCGUUGGCCCAUGUUGGAAACAGAGUUCGCACACUGGACACUGAGAGCCUGGGACUCUCGAACAACUAAUUCAUCGGACCGUCAUGAAAGUAUCCUAUUAUCUUUAGGAGUAAUGAUGUUCCUAGCUACAACCGUAGUCGUUGCUACAUCCCUCAUUACAGAGUCUUCAACUGUAAGAGGACCAUUAAAAGAUGAGAAUGACGGGCGCCAUAUAUUACCCUGACGCGGUGCACCUGUGUCACUGCUGAGACUCAAAUCUAAGCAAAUGUUAGACGGGUUACCAUUUCCAAAAAAAAAAAAAUGGUAAAAGAAAAGGGUUGAAGUGAGUAAAAUCUCAGAAAUACAGCAAAGACAAUUUUUAAAGGCGGGCAAUCUUCAAAGUGUGCAUGUUGAAUGCAAUUGACACCUUUUUCAAAAGAAGAGGCAACACAACCACUUGUUCAAAAAAAAAAUCGAAGAGACGCCACUCUUCAAAUUUCAAAACCCAGAUUUUCCUACGUAAAAUCUGUCAACACUUUUCAGACGCAGUUUCAGCUUUCGGCUAUCACGUGCAACUUUGCCAGAGAUCACUGACGAAGUUGAAAACGUGUGGAGUCCAUUAUUCCCACCUACCCGACUUUUGGCCGACAAACAUGGGUGACAAGGCCACAUUCACCCUGCCACUUGCUGUUGGGAGCUCACCAUAUAAUUCGACCUUCAUCCUCUAUAGCAAGACACACAUACAGCCUGACUUUUCUUCCUUGCCGAAUGCAUCUGCAACCAAAACUCAGUUUUCUUCCUCCUUGAAAAUACAAAUGCCUGACUCUUCUUCCUUGCCAAGAAUACAUCUCAAACUAAAACCUUUCAACAUACUUAGUUUUCUUCCUCCCUGGAAAUGCCUCUUCAACCAAGUCACACCGGAGCAAAGGUAUCUCAUAUAACUGGGGUUGAGAGCAAGAGUAUCUCAUAGCAUGCUUUCUCCCUAUCCUUUUCUUUGUCCUCCCUCUUCAAUGCGAAGACAAGGAUAAAGAAAGCAAUAUGUCGGAACCUCCACUCAAGCUCCUGGUAAGGAACCGACUGCUUGGAACUUUUCCUGAUUGCUCACCUAGCACUGCUCUCGAAGUACCCAUUGUUUCAACAUUUUGUGCUUCCAGAGAAGAUACCACAUCUGCCUGGAGAACAGAAGAGGCGAGUGAAAAUGAUGCAUCGAAGCAUGUGGAGACAAGCUCAACAAAUACAUGUGUUGAUCAUCCGCUACUUCUUCAAAAGCAUAAGUAUCUCAUAUCAUCGGGGUCGAAAACAAAGGUAUCUCAUAUCAUGCUUUUUCCCUAUCCUUUCCUUUGCCCUUGCUCUUGCCUGCAGUGUUGGAAAUAUGCCCUGAAAGUCAAUCUUUGGAAGAAACCUUUCAGGACAAUUGAAUCGAUGUAUGGAUGACUCUUAUACAUCAAAUGGAAAAAAUACUAAUUAGGACUAUCUCAAUAAACGAUAUAUGUCCUAAAUAGUGUAUCCAUGGACAAUGGAUCGAUUGAAGAAGUAAUCUAAUGAUGUUAGACUACAGAGACCUUCUUCACAUAACCAAAUGUCCAAAAAGGUUCCUGGUCAUUGGAUUGUCGGAGGGAUACUGACAAUGCGUAGACCGGUACAUACUGUGUCCGCUUCAAUUGGAAGGAUGGAAAGUCUCAUCCCAUUCGUGUUGUGACACUAAGACAAGUAUGUAGGUGCUCAUUAAGGGAAUGAGUUCACUGAACACAAUCGAACGAGAGUACUUGCAUGGAGGUCUACUCACAUGUCAAGCAAGUAACUCUAAUGGUUGGAAUAAUGUAAGUAGUCCUUUGACCUGAGGCAUCGUCGUUGUCUUGUGGUUAAGUACUUGAUCUUUGAUUAUGUCAAAAGUCACUCUAUCAGAAUGUCAACGGCAUAGUUGGGGUUAAGCCACUUAGUCAUGAAGGCAAGUGUAUGCGCAACAAGGAAUCUCUAAUCCUCGAUAAGAGAGGAAGAAUACUCUAAGAUAUGAUUCGGGAAUCUUCGGCCGAAGUAUCGAGCGUAAUAUAGGGAAAGCGUUCCUAUACGACUCAAUUGAAUCAUAUAAGAAGGAAUAAUCACAUUAGGGGUUUGACAUAAUAUAUCCAUACCCUAAUAAUGUGAUUGAGAGUAUUGUUUUUAGAGAAGGAUCGAAUUACAUUGUAAUUCCAACUGAAUAGGUUCUCCGAAUAAACUUCUACAUUAGCUUGGGUAGCUAUGACAUAUGGUUAGAUGUCACUCAUAGCUUGUGAGUUCUUCUAGAUGAUUAAAUGUAGUCGUCAAAGAAGAAAGGUGAAUUAAAAUGAAGUUUUAAUUCACUAAGUGAUUGAAUUAAAUAUAAUCAAUUGGAUUGAUGCCAAUCACCUCACUGCCUUGCUAAUUAGAACCUAAAAGAUUGUUCACCAAUACACUAUUGUAGUGAGUAACUAAUGGAUGAAGGAAAUAAUUAAUUGGAUUAAUUAAGUGUUGUGAUUAAUUUAGAAAGUCUAAAGAAAUCAUAAAAGCGAUAAAGAUCGUUUUUGGGCUUAAAGAAACGUUCGGGUUUAAUUGGGCCCAUUGGGCCUAAACCCAUUGGGCUUUUAUUCAAGCAUUGGAUGACUUGAAAUAAUAAAAGCCCAAAGCCCAAACAAACAACAAAGAGGGCCGGCCACUUUUGGUGGAAAAGGUGAGAUAUUUAGUCAAGUUGUUGACUAGGUUUCUUUUGUCUAUAUAAGGAACUUUAUAGUGAUAUUUUCAUUAGGGUUUUUGUGUGGUUAAAAACAACAAAGAGGCAAAAGAAUAUCUCUCUAAGAACUACACAAAGGCCGGCCACCUUGGGGUGAUUUUACUAACAUAUCUUUCACCCUUUGGUUAUUCCUUCAUCCUUCUCACUACACUAGUGGGUGAGGAUCUUUAGAGGUUUCCUACUUUGGAAACUUGAAGAGAACCUAGGAGCACUCAUUCUAACAAAGUGGAGGAGGCAAGGAGGGAAGCUAGGCUCAAGGAGUUCAAGGAACAAAGGGCUUGGAGGUGGUCCAUCCUUGGUCUCAAGUCUAGAUCAAGAGGUAUAAGACUAAACCUUCACUUUGUUCUUUUCUCUAAAAUUUUUUUGAUGCAUUAUAUAUAAACCUAUGAACCUUGAAGGGGAUUUGCAUGACUAUAGCUUUGAUAAUAUGUUAUAAAUGCUUCCGCUGCUUUCGUAUAUUAAAUUUUGAUUUUGUAUAUGCAUGAUAGUCAUUUAGAAAUCCCAUACAUGAAUCUCAUAGUUUUCCCUUCAAGUGGUAUCAGAGCCAAAGGUUUAUGUAUAAUGUGUCCUUUUGGAUUUUAUGCAUAUGGGUAUUAAUGUUAUGUAUGACAUAUUUAUUGUUUCAUUCAAAGUAUGUUUAUCUUUUGUUUUUCAAUAGUUGAAAAAUGUUAGUCAAAAGUUGAGAAAGAUAUGUAUGCAAAAGAUGUUUUGUAUGCAUGAAUGAAAAAUGAGUUUAGAACUAGUUUGACAUAUUAUUUCUUCAUUUAAAAAGUAUGUUUGUCUUUUGUUUUUCAAUGGUUGAAAAAUGUAAAUCAAGAGUUGAAAAAGAUAUGCAUGUAAAAGUUGUUUUGUAUGCAUGAAUGAAGAAUAAGUCAUGAACAAAAUUUGGGGUUUUUUGUUCUUGUGGUUGGCACGGUUUUGGGGGUGGUUUUUGGGUUGUGUUUGUGUUUUAUUGUAAACCACUCACACAUCCUUUUUAAAGCUAGAAAAGAAGGUUCUUGUCACUUUUGUUUUUUGGGUUUGAAAAAUCACCAAGAAUAUACAAAUCUUGAAAAUGUGUUCAUGGUUUUGUUCUUGGUGUUCAUAGUUUGGUUUUGGGUGAAAAUGGUUUUAAUUGGUUUUCAUGCAUAGUUUUAUGGUUUUGGAUGAUGUUCUUACCAUCCAUAACCAUAUUAAAAACUUAUAAAACCCUAGACUUGACUAGGAGGAUUUCCAUCACCCAUCUCACCUAAGUUUUAAUGGCAAAACCAAGUGACAAGCAAAAUUUAAUUUUUUCUACAUAAUGUGGCUUUUAAUGCAUGUUGUGUAAGAGUGUGUAAGAAACCUCCCAUCCCCUUAAUGUGGCCGGCCUCCCUAGUGGAUUUAUCCACUUGUGGGGCUAUUUUGUAAUCUUUGAAAAGUUGAUAUUUACUUUGAAAUAUUUACGGUUUUACCCCUAACUUUUCAUAUUUGCAUUUAGGCCCCUACUAACUAGAAAGUUAAAAUAUUUGAUUUUAAUUUUGUUAGUUGUUUAAACUCAUAAUACUAUUAUGCCCAUAUGCACUAAAUCUAAAUGUUUAUGUUGCAUUCCAUUAUGAUUAUUUAAAUGUGUUUAAGUAGUUAUAAAAUGGGUGACUAUGGACUUAUGCCUUAAACGAUAAUUGAGCUAUGAGAUAAGGCGCUAAAAUCAAAUUGUUUGAACCUUGGGAAUGUGUUUUAAUUACUGUUUAAUUGGACCUUGUCACGUUUGACGUUAAUCUAUCUCUCCCCUUUUAGUAUAUGUAAUUUAUAGGAAUUUGUACAAAUCGGUUUGUAAUUCUUAUUACUUCUUAAUCUCUAUUCGUUAGUUGAUUCCCUCUAGUGCUAGACUAGAGUUUCUUUAACUAUUGGUAAGGAGACAUAACUAAAAGAGGGUUUGACAUGAGAUUAAAGAUUAAAAGGGGUCCAAUGCCCUAAUUAGCAAUGAAUGAUUGUCUUUCAUUUCUAAUGGCUCAAUGAAAAUGGUUUUAAUUGGAUUGAUAAGCACGUAAUUAAAUUGACACAACCUCCCCGAGUUUAUAUUCAACAAUGUUGGCUCGUUGUUGCAAUAACCUAAUAAGUCCAUGGUCAUCCAAGAGCCUAAGAUAACUAUAAAGUCCAAUUUCAAAGGAAUGCAAAAACCUUAGUAGUAGUAGUUACUUCCAAUAUUUGAAAAAUUCGUUUUUGAUAUUGAUUUGUUUUUCUCAAAACAAAUAGUGGGAGUAUCAUACGCUACUAAACUAUAAUGAAUACAAUUAGUAGUUAUAUAUAUCUCCAAUAUUUUGAAAAAUGUUUUGAUAUUGAUUUGUUUUAUGAAAACGAAUAGUGGGGAUAUUAUAUGCUACUAAAUUUCAUUAACUUUGGACUAGUAGUUGUAAUAGGACAUUAUUUAUUUGAUUGUGAUUAAAUAAAUAAAAUUGAUGAGACCUUAAAAUCCCUCAACCAAACAAUAUUAAGUUGUAAAGCGUAAGAGUGCUUUGAACACUUUUUCGUGGCCUUCCACCGUGGUAGGCUCCAAGCGUUUAUGACUUGUACACCGCCUUCACCCUAUCAUGGGGGAAGUGACAAAGUGCAUGCUUAUAUUCAGGAGGAGUUUAUUUAAAACAUUUGAUGAGGUUAAGGUAGGCAACGAGUGUGGCCAACAUCGUAUCAUCGUGAGGUCAUGCUUGAACCCCUAUCUAAACCGGCAUGGUGGGAAAGAACUUAACUAAGAGAAAUGGUGCCAACAUCGUAUCAUCGUGAGGCAUUGUUUUCUCUAGAGGCCAAAAAGAUGGGUAAUCACAAGAGGUUGUUGUGAAUGGGUAAGUUGUACCCUCUCAUUAUUAUUUUUGCUAGCCAACAUCGUAUAAUCGUGAGGUGGGCUUGGUAAUAGUGAGCCUCCCAUAACCCGCUAGGAGCUUUCUUUGAAAUCUCCCGGAUUCCAUCAUGAGGGAUAUGGAAUUUGCCAAAAAUGGUGGGUGGUGUCAUUCGGUUUAAAGACCCGAAUCGUUUGACUUAAUCAACAAUCAAUCUAAUUAUUUUAUUUGUUUAUGUAUAUAGAUAUGGUUGGAAGCACACUCGCGAAAAUACUCGACAAACAUUGCCUAGAGGGGCACAAUUUCCCAUCAUGGUAUCGUAAUGUCAAGAUUCUCCUAACAUUGGAGAAGAUUGUUUACGUACUAGACAAGGCUCCACCUCACAUACCUCUCGGCCCUGAGGCUACUGAGGAUGAACGUGCUAAGUAUGACAAGCACGUUGAGGAUGACACACAAGCCAAGUGCUAUCUGUUGGCUUCCAUGAAUGAGGAGCUACAGAGACAGCACGAGGGCAUGGACAGUGCAUCUUCCAUAAUACUCCAUCUUACGGAGUUAUAUGGUGAAGGGACGCGCAACCGUCGCUUUAGCACUGUUUGUGAACUUGUGAAGACCAAGAUGGUCAAGGGGGCUCCAGUGCAUCAACAUGUACUGAAGAUGAUAGGAUUCAUUGAACAAUUGGAGAACCUUGGUACUCCACUUGACGGGGAAUUGGCCCAGGACUUCGUAUUGGCUUCUCUUUCUGAUUCAUUUGCGCAGUUCGUAAUGAACUACAAUAUGAAUAAGAUGGAUAGUACUCUCUCUGAGUUACUAAAUAUGUUAGUAACUGCCGAGAAGACUAUGAAGAAAGAGAACGUUGUAGGGACUGCUGCAGUAGCCUACAACAAGCCAUCCUCUUCCAAGGCCAUGCCGCAAGGCAAAGGCAAAGGGAAGGAGAAGAAGUCACCCACUCCUAAGCCAAAAGGAGGAGUGAGGAAAAAGAAGGCAAAUGAGCCCAAAGGGACUUGCCACCACUGUGGAAAUGAGGGGCAUUGGAGGAGGAAUUGCAGGUUAUACCUUGCAACUCUUAAGGACAAGCCACAAGGUAUGGUUUAUGUUCUUAUCUUCAAUUCUAAAUGUUAGAUCUUCUAAAUAUUUAUAUUUGAUAUAAAGGGCUAAUCACUUGUAUAAUUGUAUAUAGGUGGAGGAGCCAAGUAGAAGAAGAACAAGCAAGGAAAAUGUGGUGAAGGGUUAGGCCACUAUAUUUUUUGCUCACUACUUAGGAAGUUUGUUAGGCAUUAAAGAUUGUCUUUAAACUUUCUUAUUUUGAUAAGAACUUAUUAUAUGGCUUCAUAUGAUGGAAGACCACUAUUAGUGCCUAAAUGUAUAAAGGUAUUUAAAUUAGACUCUAAAUGUAUAGAGCUAAUACUUUUUGUAUUAAACAUUAUGAAUGUUUGAAUUAUCAUAUUAAUGUAAUGUGAAGAAUGCCUUUUUAAUAUACUAUUUCCUUAAAGUAGUGUUAUGAAUUGAAAAUUGUCUUGUUGUAUCCUAGAUGAGAUACAAGAGUUAUAUCACUUAUUGUAAUGUGAUAACCAAACUUUAGAUUUAUCAAUUAUGGAUAGAUCUCACAUGUAGGACAUAAAAGGAUACAAUGAAUCUUUAGAUUUGGUUCCAUUUGUCUACUUAUGAGUUCUAUAUGAAUUGACAAAAGUCUAGAGAAUCCUUUCUUGAAGAAAAGGAAGAUCACAUUAUAAUGAUAUAAGUAAUAAGAAAAACGUUUCUUAUAUGGUUAUCACUUGAAACACAAUGAUCAAGAUCACUCUUGAUUCAAUUAGUAGUUUUGAACAACUAAUUGGGCAUUCUUUAAAAGGUUUUUAAAAUGUCAAUUGUGUUAGUGAUUAAACCAAGAAAGAAGUGUCUAAAUCUAUAAAAUGUUUAAAGACUUUAGUCACUUAAUAACAAGACAUUAACUUAGUGAAGAUUGAAACAAAUGAAGCUUGAAAGUUUUUUAAAGCUACUACACAAUGUCUUCUACCAAUAUAAUCCACUUUUAUACAUUUUGAAUGUAUGAAAUGAUUUCUCAUUAAAGUCAUGAGAAAUAGUGGGAGGUGUGAAAAUGGAUAUAAACUUGAAUAUGAUUGGUUUAUAGUUGUCUAAAGAAUAAUAGUAUUUGACUAUUAUUAAGAGUUUGUAAUUUUAAUUGUUAAAGGACUCAAGCUCUUCAAACGUUAAAAUUCUAUGUUGUGUGACAUUCUAAAGAAUAGUCUUUGAAUGUUGGUUUCGUCAACCUAGCAUAAAAUGGUUAUAUGUUGGGAGUUGUCCAUCAUUCUCUUUUAUGAGAACAAGCUAAAUAACUAAGCAUAUGGACAAGUUGAUGAAACAAAAGGGAAAUAAGUUUCAAAAUGAGUCACAACAUAUGGUUUUAACAACAAGACAAACCAAAUUCAACAUCUCAUGUAACGAUAUUGCUCUAUGUAGUUUUGAUAAAGAAUUAUAUCAACCACCUAGAAGGAAUGGUUGAGUUUCUAUAUCCUUAGUAGGAGCCAUGCUUCCACUAAAGACUUGGAUAAUUCUUAUAUGACUACAUUAAAGGUCUUAGUAUGACUAAAACUUGAAGUAUGGUGUAUGACACCAUAUAAUUUAAAUGAAUAGACUUGAUAAAGCAAGUCACACAUUUCAUGGAAUUACUUGAGAAGGAAUUCUUUUGUGUAUGAUUCAUUUAAAGUUAAUGGGAGCAAUAUGCAUUCAAAUCAAGAAAUAUAAUUGUUAUUUUUGAAUGAAUGCUAAGUUACAACAAGGCCAGUGGGAGUGAUGUCAUAAUUUGAGCAACAAGAUAUGAAUAAAGUCUAUUUGAUAAGACUUAAUAAAACAUAGAUGUUACUCGAGAAAUGACAAAACAUGACAUGGUCAAUUUUGAAGUAUAGACUUGAAAUUGGACUUAUUAAUAUAGCAAAGCUAUCUCAAUAAUGUUAUAUGGGAAUUAAAUCUCAAAUGUUGAAGAUUUAAGAAAGCAUUUUCCUAUGUGAUAGGAAGUCACUUUCAUAACCCUUAUAAUGAAUGUGUCAUAAAAUCACAAAAGGGACACAUGUAUUGACUUGUGAAGAAGAUAUCCAAAGGUGAAGAACCAAAGGGGGUUUAUCACUUUAAGAUAUUACUAUAUCCCAGGAUCAGAACCAAAGCAACUGAUAGAGUAUUAUUGCCUUUAAGAAAGAAACAUCAGAGUGGGACUCUGGAAGCGUGCAUUCACUUAGGUUGUUAACCAAAGUGAAAAUAAGCCAUUUUAACAAAUGGAACUUCAUAAUGGAUGAAGUACUAAAUCAUAUGAAUGAAUUUUUUAGUAUUGUACUACAAUGGUCUCAAGGUUGGAGCAAAAUUUGUAUAAAGUAUACAAACGAAAUAUAUGUCGAUAUAUAGUUUUAGAAACUGCUUCAAAAGGUGUUUUGAAUGGAAGGGGUUCUUAUAGAACCAAUGAUUGAAUCCAAACCAUAAGGUCGUUAGUAGGAUACUACGACGUAAUGGGGCGAUAGCUCAAGCCAUGGAAUCAAGGUCUCAUCAAAGUAUUCGAACACAAUAAAGAGACAUCAUCAAAUGUUUUGGAAACAUUUGAUAAGUAAAUCCCUUUUAAUAAUAAAAGGGAUUAAUACAUAACCAAGUUAACCUACGAGCAUAAACUCUCUCAACAAGAUGUAUAAGAUACACUAGUGAUUGACUUUAGUGCAAGUGGGAGAUUGUUGGAAAUAUGCCCUGAAAGUCAAUCUUUGGAAAGAAACCUUUCAGGACAAAUGAAUCGAUGUAUGGAUGACUCUUAUACAUCAAAUGGCAAAGAUACUAAUUAGGACUAUCUCAAUAAACGAUAUAUGUCCUAAAUAGUGUAUCCAUGGACAAUGGAUCGAUUGAAGAAGUAAUCUAAUGAUGUUAGACUACAGAGACCUUCUUCACAUAACCAAAUGUCCAAAAAGGUUCCUGGUCAUUGGAUUGUCGGAGGGAUACUGACAAUGCUAGACCGGUACAUACUGUGUCCGCUUCAAUUGGAAGGAUGGAAAGUCUCAUCCCAUUCGUGUUGUGACACUAAGACAAGUAUGUAGGUGCUCAUUAAGGGAAUGAGUUCACUGAACACAAUCGAACGAGAGUACUUGCAUGGAGGUCUACUCACAUGUCAAGCAAGUAACUCUAAUGGUUGGAAUAAUGUAAGUAGUCCUUUGACCUGAGGCAUCGUCGUUGUCUUGUGGUUAAGUACUUGAUCUUUGAUUAUGUCAAAAGUCACUCUAUUCAGAAUGUCCACGGCAUAGUUGGGGUUAAGCCACUUAGUCAUGAAGGCAAGUGUAUGCGCAACAAGGAAUCUCUAAUCCUCGAUAAGAGAGGAAGAAUACUCUAAGAUAUGAUUCGGGAAUCUUCGGCCGAAGUAUCGAGCGUAAUAAAGGAAAGCGUUCCUAUACGACUCAAUUGAAUCAUAUAAGAAGGAAUAAUCACAUUAGGGGUUUGACAUAAUAUAUCCAUACCCUAAUAAUGUGAUUGAGAGUAUUGUUUUAGAGAAGGAUCGAAUUACAUUGUAAUUCCAACUGAAUAGGUUCUCCGAAUAAAACUUCUACAUUAGCUUGGGUAGCUAUGACAUAUGGUUAGAUGUCACUCAUAGCUUGUGAGUUCUUCUAGAUGAUUAAAUGUAGUCGUCAAAGAAGAAAGGUGAAUUAAAAUGAAGUUUUAAUUCACUAAGUGAUUGAAUUAAAUAUAAUCAAUUGGAUUGAUGCCAAUCACCUCACUGCCUUGCUAAUUAGAACCUAAAAGAUUGUUCACCAAUACACUAUUGUAGUGAGUAACUAAUGGAUGAAGGAAAUAAUUAAUUGGAUUAAUUAAGUGUUGUGAUUAAUUUAGAAAGUCUAAAGAAAUCAUAAAAGCGAUAAAGAUCGUUUUUGGGCUUAAAGAAACGUUCGGGUUUAAUUGGGCCCAUUGGGCCUAAACCCAUUGGGCUUUUAUUCAAGCAUUGGAUGACUUGAAAUAAUAAAAGCCCAAAGCCCAAACAAACAACAAAGAGGCCGGCCACUUUUGGUGGAAAUGGUGAGAUAUUUAGUCAAGUUGUUGGCUAGGUUUCUUUUGUCUAUAUAAGGAACUUUAUAGUGAUAUUUUCCUUAGGGUUUUUGUGUGGUUAAAAACAACAAAGAGGUAAAAGAAUAUCUCUCUAAGAACUACACAAAGGUCGGCCACCUUGGGGUGAUUUUACUAACAUAUCUUUCACCCUUUGGUUAUUCCUUCAUCCUUCUCACUACACUAGUGGGUGAGGAUCUUUAGAGGUUUCCUACUUUGGAAACUUGAAGAGAACCUAGGAGCACUCAUUCUAACAAAGUGGUGGAGGCAAGGAGGGAAGCUAGGCUCAAGGAGUUCAAGGAACAAAGGGCUUGGAGGUGGUCCAUCCUUGGUCUCAAGUCUAGAUCAAGAGGUAUAAGACUAAACCUUCACUUUGUUCUUUUCUCUAAAAUUUUAUUUGAUGCAUUAUAUAUAAACCUAUUAACCUUGAAGGGGAUUUGCAUGACUAUAGCUUUGAUAAUAUGUUAUAAAUGCAUCCGCUGCUUUCGUAUAUUAAAUUUGAUUUGUAUAUGCAUGAUAGUCAUUUAGAAAUCCCAUACAUGAAUCUCAUAGAUUUCCCUUCAUGCAGAACAAGGAGAAAGGAAGCAAUCAGUCGGAACCUGAAAUUAAACGUCCGAUCAGGAACUGAUUGCCCGGAACCUUUGCCUGGUUGCUUACCUAGCGUUGCUCUCGAGUGCUCAUCUUCAACUGUUGAUGGAUCUCGAAUUUCCUCAGCAAAAUUUCAAAACAGUUGAUAUGGUGUUGGCUCUUUACACUGAAGCUGCCAAGCAUGGAUGAGUGGCUGAAAAGUGAUGCUCUGAAGGACCAUUUAAAGGCAAAGGGUUGCGCACCACUUCGGUUAGGCGAAAGAAACAAGCAGAGAAUAAUGCAGCAUGAUGAGCUGGAACAAAUCAUUAUGGCAGGACACCCUUCUCGACCAAACUGCAUAAUCCAGACGGAGGGGUCUAAGUCAAAUCCAAGCCUGCCAUCGUUGCUAUAAUCAAAGAGCUUGAGAAGCUUCAACAACCUUUCGCUGGCACUAUGACCGAAGAACAAAGUCUCGAUAAUCCUUAAAGAUCAAGUCACCAACUGGAAGAAGAGCCCAUCAAUCUUGAAGAUCAUACCGUUGACCAAACUGCUCAAGGUUCAUAUGAAAAUGUUGCGAACUUCCUUGAUCUUUCAAAGCAUGCAUGUCCUGAAACUGCUCGUGGUCAUGUUUAAGUUCGAGAUCAAGCCUCAACGGCCCUUAAAGAAAUCACAAGUCCGAUUCAAGAUCAAGUGUCCAACACCCUUGAAUCAAAUCUAGUUCAAGAUUAAGUCUGUGGAAAGUCCUUUGGAGGAAACGAGAAAACCCUCCAGCCCAGUUCAAGAUUAAGCCUGUGGAAAAUCAACAAUUGGAGGAAACUAGAAAAUCUUCCAGCCAAAUUCAAGAUCAAGCCCCGACAACCCUUGAAGAAAUUACCAACCCAGUUCAAGAUCAAGCCUCAACGGCCCUUGGAUCAACAUCUGCAGUAAGGGACUUCAAAACGCAUCUUCUACAUGUGACAAGCACAUGUAUACGAUGCACCUUGAAGUGGGGGCAUUUGUAGACAUCGAAAUUUUGGUGAAAUAAAUGUUGAUCAAUAAUUAAAAUUUCAACGUUCAUAUGUCACUUAAAUUUUACACAUAGCAUGUGACUAAACAAAAAAUCAAAAUAAAUCAGAAAAGUCAUCAAGCAGGACACAUGUCAACACCUGGCAAAAAUGAUUUAUUUCAUCUGAUUAUUUAAAUCCAAAAAAUCAAGUUUUGGAAUUCUAUAAAUAGGAGGCCAAGGCAUUUAUUUUGGGGACACCAAUUCAUAACCAAUUCACCUCACACCAAAACCUUGAAGCUUUGAAACUCCAAAGCUCCCAAGCAAAUCCCGAAGGAUCAAGAAAGCUCUCUUCGUUCUUCGUCAAAUCCUUAUUCAAAAUCAAGCCCCAACGGCCCUUGAAGAACUUCCACUAAUUCAAGAUCAAGCCCCGACGGCCCUUGAAGAAAGUGUCCAUCAUUCAUCAUUCGUUAAUCCCUAGAUCAAGCCCUGACGACCCUUUGGAUCAGCGACGUCAACAAAUCCGCACAACUGUUUAUGAGACGGCCCUUUGAUUAACAACAUCAAUCACAUACAAGAUAGAAUGUAUUUGGAAGAUUGUAAUAAAUCAUCAAUAAAAUAUAUUUCAUGUUUUGGCAUAAAUUUGACAAAAAGAUGCUAGGAAGUUUCUCAUAUGAUGAUAAACUUCAAUCAGAAGGACAACUCUAGUGAAGACUAGAAGGUUGCUCUUCUCAAAGGGAACGUACCCUUUGACUCCCAAAGAAAUAAUGCGUAAAUAGAAUCCUUUAUGCAUACGCAGAAAGGUGAUUUAUGUAUUUCAUAUUGUAUGAAAAACAUUGAUAUGAGUUGUACCUAGAACGGUACAAGACGAUAUCAGUGCAAGCCCAGGAUCAGAACCAUGGCAACUGUCAAGUGAGUCCUUAAGUAUUUAAGAAAUACUAAAGGAUAAUUCCUCAAAGAAUGAGGAAGAAUUAGAGUAACGUAAUGGAAGCGUAAAUGUAUUAGAUUAUGAAUCUAUGAAUCUAAUAUCAUCAUUGGAUGUUUCUUCAUUAUGAAUGAAGAGAUAAACAAUAUCUCUUUAUUAUGACUAAAGAGAUAUUUGGAUGGAAACAUUAAAGUAAUGACUUUAGUGUGUUCCAUUAUGAAUGCAAAAUAUAUUGCCAUAUAGAAGCUUUACAACAAUGUUGUUUGGAUGGGAAAGUUCAUUUAUGAACUCUCUAUUCGGUUCCAACCAGAAAGUGUAUCUAGUGUACCGACACUAUGACACUAAUGGGGCGAUAGCUCAAGCCAGGGAAUCAAGGUCUCAUCAAGAUCCGAACUCAAAUGAGAGACUGAACCACAUGAUUGAGAAUCAUGUAUAAUGGUGACGUCGUUAUUCUCAAGGUUGCUUCUAUGGAUAACAUAUAGAUAUCCAUUGUCUAGGCCUACUACUUCAGCCAUUUAUGAAAUGACUACAGAAGAGGUAUCAUCACUGAUGACCAAGCUGAUUGGCUCUAGUGCAAGUGGGAGAUUGUUGGAAAUGUGCCCUAAAACCAAUCAUAUGAUGAUACUUUACGGACAUUUCACAUGUUAAACUAAUCUAGUUUAAUAUAAAGGGCAAAGAUUAUUGUUUGAGCCGUCUCAUAUAAAUGUUAUAUGCUUAAACGAUAAAGUCCAAGGAAUAUGUGAUUGGGAGAAUGCGAAUCUAAUGAAGUUAGAUUCAUGAGACCAUUCUUUUCGUAGACACAUCCUAAAUGUUCCUGAUCAUAGGAUUGCCAAUUGGGCAUUGACAGUCCGUUAAGAUCAGUACGUGCUAUGUCUUCUCUCAGGGAGAGUGACUAGUCUCGAGUCAUUGGUGUGUGUGACAUCAAGACAAGUACGUAGGUGCUCAAUAGAGAAUGAGUUCACUGAACGCGAUCAACGAAGAGUUCUCAUACUUCAUGUCACAUGAGAACUCAUGGUUGGGAUAAUGCAAAGUAGUCCUUUGACCUGAGGCAUCAUAGUUGUCUUGUGGUUAAGUCCUUGAUCUUUGAUUAUGUCAAAGUCACUCCAUCCGAGGGUGUCCACGGCAUCGUUGGGGUUAAGCCACUUAGCCAUGGAGGCAAGUGAAUGCGCAACAAGGGAUCUCUAACCUUCAAACUGUUUGAGGGAGAAUACUCUAUGAUAUGAUUAGAAUCUCUGGCCAGAGUAUGAAUGAGAUUUAGGAAGUCGUUCCAAAUCACAUUCAAGGUAAUCAUAUAAGCACAACGAAUCACAUUGGAUAGUAGACAUGAAAAAUAAACUAUCAAACCAAACAAUGUGGUCAAGAGUAUUGUAUUAGAGAAAGACCGUAUUGCAUUUGUAAUCCUAAAACUGAAUAGGUUCUCCACCUCUUCUGAUUAGCUUGGGUAACCAUGACAUGCUGCUAGGUGUCACUCAUGGUUUGUGGAAGCCCUAAACGUGUAUAAUCACUAAAGGGAGAAUUGAAAGUAAGUUUCAAUUCACAAUCGAUUUGAAAGAGUUUUAAUCGCCCACUGCCUCGCUAAAAGGAACCUAAUGGAUCGUACACCGUGUAAGGUAGGAGAUUGAAGAAACAAACGGAGAUGAGUAAGAAUAAUUAAAUGGUUUAAUUAUUUAUGGCAAGGAUUAAUUAAUAUGUUAAUUAAUCAAACGAAUAAAGUUCGUUAAAGACCACGGGUUAGUUCAUUCAAGCCCAUUGACUUAAGUUGUAUGACAACUUAAUGAAUAAUAAUUCACAAAGG
rnacentral:lncRNA from 1 species